rnacentral:rRNA from 1 species
AACUCCGGGAACUGGAGCUAAUACCGUAUGUGCCCGCAAGGGGAAAGAUUUAUCGCCAUUGGAUGAACCCGCGUCGGAUUAGCUAGUUGGUGGGGUAAAGGCCCACCAAGGCGACGAUCCGUAGCUGGCCUGAGAGGAUGAUCAUCCACACUGGGACUGACACACUGCCCAUACUCCUACGGGAGGCAUCCUUGGGGAAUAUUGGACAAUGGGCGCAAGCCUGAUCCAGCCAUGCCGCGUGAGUGAUGAAGGCCUUAGGGUUGUAAAGCUCUUUCUCCGACGAACAUAAUGACGGUAGUCAGAGAAGAAGCCCCGGCUAAUUUCGUGCCAGCAGCCCGCGGUAAAUACGAA